rnacentral:rRNA from 1 species
AUUGAACGCUGGCGGCAUGCUUUACACAUGCAAGUCGAACGGUAACAGGCCUUCGGGUGCUGACGAGUGGCGAACGGGUGAGUAAUGCAUCGGAACGUACCCAGAGGUGGGGGAUAACGCAGCGAAAGCUGUGCUAAUACCGCAUGUGAUCUGAGGAUGAAAGCGGGGGACCGAGCAGCAAUGUUUGGCCUCGCGCCUUUGGAGCGGCCGAUGUCGGAUUAGCUAGUUGGUGGGGUAAAGGCCUACCAAGGCGACGAUCCGUAGCUGGUCUGAGAGGACGACCGGCCACACUGGGACUGAGACACGGCCCAGACUCCUACGGGAGGCAGCAGUGGGGAAUGUUGGACAAUGGGCGCAAGCCUGAUCCAGCAAUGCCGCGUGCGGGAAGAAGGCCUUCGGGUUGUAAACCGCUUUUGGCAGGAACGAAACGGUGUCCGCUAAUACCGGGCGCUAAUGACGGUACCUGCAGAAUAAGCACCGGCUAACUACGUG